rnacentral:rRNA from 1 species
AUGGCGGGGCCGAUCCGCGUCACCAUGGAGGUCGGCGCCGACGGCGUCGCGCUCAUCACCAUCUGCAACCCGCCGGUCAAUGCUCUGCACCCCAUCAUCAUCCAGGGGCUCAAGGAGAAGUACGCCGAGGCCCUUGAUCGCGACGACGUCAAGGCCAUCGUCCUCACCGGCGCGGCGGGCAAGUUUUGUGGAGGCUUCGAUAUUAAUGUAUUCUCAAAAGUUCAUGAGACUGGAGACGUGUCCAUUUUGCCUGAGAUGUCUUUUGAGCUUGUGUCGAAUCUGAUGGAAGAUGGCAAAAAGCCUUCUGUCGCUGCAAUUCAAGGCCUUGCUCUUGGUGGUGGUCUAGAGUUGACUAUGGGUUGUCAUGCUCGGAUAGCUACCCCUGAAGCUCAACUUGGAUUACCAGAGCUAACUCUUGGCGUGAUUCCUGGAGCUGGAGGAACUCAGCGUCUACCGAGGCUUGUAGGUCUGCCCAAAGCAAUAGAAAUGAUGCUUCAAUCGAAGUUCAUUACGGCCAAGGAAGGAAAAGAACGUGGUUUUAUUGAUGCGCUUUGCUCCCCUGAUGAGUUGAUAAAAAUGUCACGCUCUUGGGCUCUGGAGAUUGCAAAUUACCGUAAACCUUGGAUAAGAUCUCUUGGCAGAACAGAUAGGCUUGGUUCACUGUCUGAAGCUCGUGCUGUAUUAAGUAUGGCAAGACAGCAAGCAAAUAAGGUUGCAGCAAACAUGCCACAGCACCAGGCCUGCCUAGAUGUUAUUGAAGAAGGUGCACUAUAUGGAGGCCAUGCUGGUGUUGUGAAGGAAGCAAAGGUUUUCAAGGAGUUGGUAGUAUCAACCACAUCAAGGGCACUUGUCCAUGCAUUCUUCGCCCAGCGUUCCACCACUAAGGUACCUGGUGUUACUGAUAUUCAACUCAAACCUAGGAACAUAAGAAAAGUUGCUGUUAUUGGUGGUGGUCUUAUGGGUUCUGGAAUUGCAACAGCCCUUCUUGUUGGCAAUAUAUCUGUUGUCCUCAAGGAAGUAAACCCUCAAUUUUUGCAAAGGGGACAAAAAACAAUAGCAGGAAAUCUGGAGGGCCUUGUCAAAAGAGGCUCAUUGACCAAGGAUAAAAUGAGCAAGGCCAUAUCACUUCUCAAGGGUGCAUUGGAUUAUUCAGAUUUCAAGGAUGUUGAUAUGGUUAUUGAGGCUGUUAUUGAGAAGGUUCCUUUGAAGCAAUCAAUUUUUGCUGACAUUGAGAAAAUCUGCCCACCACAUUGCAUACUUGCAACGAACACUUCCACCAUCGAUUUGAAUGUUAUCGGCGAGAAGACAAAUUCUCAAGAUAGAAUUAUUGGGGCUCAUUUUUUCAGGGAUAUCAAAAGCCCUGCUCAUAUUAUGCCCUUGCUUGAAAUUGUCCGGACGGAAAAGACAUCACCACAAGCUAUCCUCGAUCUCAUUACAGUUGGGAAAAUAAUAAGGAAAGUCCCCGUUGUUGUUGGCAACUGCACAGGCUUUGCAGUAAAUCGUACAUUUUUCCCUUACACACAAGGUGCUCAGCUUCUAGUUAGUCUUGGCAUUGAUCUUUUCAGAAUUGAUCGAAUAAUAAGCAACUUUGGCAUGCCAAUGGGACCUUUUCAACUCCAAGAUUUAGCUGGAUAUGGAGUAGCCUUAGCAGUAAAGGAUAUCUAUGCAGCUGCCUUUGGAACACGGAAUUUUAACUCUGUUCUAGUGGAUUUGAUGGCAGAGACUGGGCGGCAGGGAAAGAGCAAUGGAAAAGGUUACUACCUUUAUGAGAAGGGUGCGAAGCCAAAGCCUGACCCUAAUGUUCAACUUGUGAUUGAUGAGUACAGAAAGCAGGCAAAGACAAUGCCGGCUGGAAAGCCUGUUACUUUAUCGGAUCAAGAUAUAUUGGAGAUGGUUUUCUUCCCAGUCGUUAAUGAGGCAUGCAGGGUCAUGGAUGAAAAUGUGGUGAUCAGGGCUGCUGAUCUUGAUAUUGCAUCUGUUCUCGGGAUGGGCUUUCCCAAGUACAGGGGUGGCCUCGUCUUUUGGGCUGACACGGUCGGAGCAUCUUAUAUACAUUCAAAGCUUAGCAAGUGGGCUGAAGCGUAUGGUGAUUUCUUCAAACCAUCAUCAUAUUUGGAGGAGAGAGCGAAAAGCGGCCGACCACUGGCCGCGCCACGGACGGCUCACCAAGCUUCGACAAGGUCACGCAUGUGA